GGUGGCUCAGUGGUAGAGCACUUGCCUUGCAUGCAUGAGGCCUUGGGUUCGUUUCCUCAGCACCA
rnacentral:tRNA from 1 species